GCUUAGUUACGAGAUUGCUGCGGCACCAUUGCGCGCACCAAGCGCCCCAGCGCGGCACCAUCGCGCGCAGGCAGCGCGAUCGCGCGGCAAGGCUCCAACGAUCUUGCGCGAGGCUGCGCACGCUGGCGCGCGAGGUUGCCCACUCUCGCGCGGCAAGGCUGCCCGCUCGCGCGGCAGGCUGCCACGCUCGCGCGGCAAGGCUGCCCACGCUCGCGCGGCAAGGCUGCGCACUCUGGGCGCGAGGCUGCCCACGCUCGCGCGGCAAGGCUGCGCACUCUGGCGCGCGAGGCUGCCCACCCUCGCGCGGCAAGGCAGCCAACCCUGGCCCGCGAGGCUGCCCAUUUCCGAGUAAAGCAUGCUUCACCCACUCGCGAGGAAGGCAGCGGGCUCGGCGGGGAUGUAGCCAGCCUCGCGUGCCCGCAGCGCACCUCGCUACAGCGCCGCCCCCCCCCCCCCCCUGCCUGCUCGAGAGCAUCGCGCGCAGCAACACUGCGACGCUCGACGGCACCCGCGCUCGCGCCGACGAGCAAGCUUGCCCGGCAUGCAGAGCGCGGCGCAGCGCAGGCCGCGAGGCCUGACGACGCCGCCGCGCCGCCGUGGCUGCUGCUCCUUGCCAAGUGAGGGCGCUGCUAGCCAUUUUUGCUUUGCCCCCAUGGGCAGCGGACGCGCCGCGUGCCGAGCCUAAGCGCGAGCAGAACACGAGAUGGCGGGCUUAGGGAACAAUUUUUUGGCCGCUGGAAAACAGUUUUAAAAAUCGUCCAAAAUGGAGAAACCGGGACACAAAAAAACUCGUAAGAUAUGCAAACGGCACCGGAAUGGGCUGAAAUUUUAGGAGGCGCCGUAUAUCGACCUGAAUUAUCUGAUGGGACCAAAAAGUGGUGGAAAUUAUGCCGGAGCUCGGGGUCCCAAAUUUUGGGCAAAAAAUGGCCAAAAACCGUGGCCAUUUUGAGCACACGGAUUUUGCCCAAAUUUCGCGUUUUCGGGGCGGCAGGGGAUUUUGGGCCCGCAUUGUCGAUGUUGGUAGGAGUUAGCCACAGGAGAAAACGGAAGCCAAAAUUUCUCCUUUGUGCCAGCCACUUAGAUUUUGCCGAGAGUUUAGCCUCAUGAAAAAACACAAGUCCGCUCCGAGGCCUGAGUUAGCCUCCUUUCGGAGCCAUCACACAAGUCUUUGUGCCAGAGUUAGCCUCAUGAAAAGGAGAGUGUGCUGCCUUUUGUGCCAGCCACUUAGAUAUUGCCGAGAGUUAGCCUCGUGAAAAAACACAAGUCCACUCCGAUCCUUGGGCGUGUGCGCCGCAGGGGGCUAACCUCCGACGGGUUCCGAACAAGAAGACGGUGCGAGUGAGGGGGGAGGGACGAAUCUGAGCGACGUAGGGCUGAAUCUCAGUGGAUCGUGGCAGCAAGGCCACUCUGCCACUUACAAUAACCCCGUCGCGUAUUUAAGUCGUCUGCAAAGGAUUCUACCCGCCGCUCGAUGGGAAUUACGAUUUCAAGGCGGCCGCCGCGGCCUUCCGCCGCGGGGGCUUGGCCUACGACACGUGCCUCUGGGGACCGGGAGGUCCCUACUGCGGGUCGGCAAAACGGGCGGCAGGGCGCACGCGUCGCUCUAAGCCCGGAUUCUGACUUAGAGGCGUUCAGUCAUAAUCCAGCGCACGGUAGCUUCGCGCCACUGGCUUUUCAACCAAGCGCGAUGACCAAUUGUGCGAAUCAACGGUUCCUCUCGUACUAGGUUGAAUUACUAUUACGACGCAGUCA
rnacentral:lncRNA from 1 species